UACGGAGGGAGCUAGCGUUGUUCGGAAUUACUGGGCGUAAAGCGCACGUAGGCGGCUUUGUAAGUUAGAGGUGAAAGCCCGGGGCUCAACCCCGGAAUUGCCUUUAAGACUGCAUCGCUUGAAUCCGGGAGAGGUGAGUGGAAUUCCGAGUGUAGAGGUGAAAUUCGUAGAUAUUCGGAAGAACACCAGUGGCGAAGGCGGCUCACUGGACCGGUAUUGACGCUGAGGUACGAAAGCGUGGGGAGCAAACAGG
rnacentral:rRNA from 1 species